UACGUAGGGGGCAAGCGUUGUCCGGAAUCAUUGGGCGUAAAGCGCGUGUAGGCGGCUCGAUAAGUCUGCUGUGAAAGUCCAAGGCUCAACCUUGGGAUGCCGGUGGAUACUGUCGAGCUCGAGUCCGGAAGAGGAGUGUGGAAUUCCUGGUGUAGCGGUGAAAUGCGCAGAUAUCAGGAGGAACACCAAUGGCGAAGGCAGCACUCUGGGACGUGACUGACGCUGAGGCACGAAAGCGUGGGGAGCGAACAGG
rnacentral:rRNA from 1 species